rnacentral:rRNA from 1 species
UUGGCUCAGGAUGAACGCUGGCGGCAGGCCUAACACAUGCAAGUCGAGGGGCAGCGGGGGAGCAAUCCUGCCGGCGACCGGCGCACGGGUGAGUAACGCGUAUGUAACCUGCCCAUGAGUGGGGGAUAGCCCAGCGAAAGCUGGAUUAAUACCGCAUGAAACCGUUUGAAGACAUCUGAUAAUGGUUAAAGAUUUAUUGCUCAUGGAUGGACAUGCGUCCGAUUAGCUAGUUGGCGGGGCAACGGCCCACCAAGGCGACGAUCGGUAGGGGUUCUGGGAGGAAGGUCCCCCACAUUGGUACUGAGACACGGACCAAACUCCUACGGGAGGCAGCAGUGGGGAAUA